UACAGAGGGUGCGAGCGUUAAUCGGAAUUACUGGGCGUAAAGCGUGCGUAGACGGUUCUGUAAGUCGGAUGUGAAAUCCCCGGGCUCAACCUGGGAAUUGCAUUCGAGACUGCAAAGCUUGGGUGCGGAAGAGGGAAGCGGAAUUUCCGGUGUAGCGGUGAAAUGCGUAGAUAUCGGAAGGAACACCAGUGGCGAAGGCGGCUGACCUGGACCAGCACUGACACUGAGGCACGAAAGCUAGGGGAGCGAAUGGG
rnacentral:rRNA from 1 species